GAGGCGGAACUGGCGCGGCCCAGCCACUUCCGCUACGGAGGGGAGGGGCGAGAGCUCAACGCGCAAGCGCGAGCUGAGGGCGGGGCCCGCGUUUAGCGCGGCGCCAGGGCUGUGCGCAAGCGCAGUGGCGGCGGAGAGGCGGUGCCAUUUUGUCCGUGAGGGAGCCAGCUGGGCCAGUGCCGGAGCCCCGCCCACUCCAUGAUGGACGGCUCGGCCAGCGAAUGGCGGCGCGCGGAGGGCGGUGCUGAAGGAAGACAUCAAACUCUCAAACGGGCGAUUUCUGCUCAACAGAGGCAAGCUAAAACAACAUCAGGUGUCAGAGCAUGCUCCCAUGACAAACCGAGAAGACAGCAAAUUUGAGCUGGCCGGUGGAAGGUGGAAAACACGCAGAUGAGUGGCAAGGACCCCACAGACGGACUGUAGUGAUGAGGAGGAGGACUUUUCUGAAGAGGACAUUGACUGAAGUAGUUGAACUUUUGUCCUGUCCAGAAUUAUUUUCCAUUUCCAUGCAUCCAGCACUCAAAUGCUUUAACUAAAUAAACUUUGUGUUAUUUGACACUGAACAUAAAAUUCUAGUAGUAUUUAACCCGGAACGCGGGGGCAUCUGUUCAGCUAUUCAGAAGGUAAACAGUUUGAAUGUGUUGUCCACGAAGUCUCCUCAACUUUGUGGUGAGCAUAUCCAAGCUGCUUACCUCCUGGUGUAAAACAGUCGUCAUGACACGUUCAAGCCAAGGAUAAAUACAAUGUCUAAAUAUUAUGUCUCGGUUCAAGACUUCCAGCCAAGAGCUGAAUAGCUGAGCAGGUAUUAAAUAAAUAAUUAUGGAAAUAGCUUUGGCAGACUUACUUUUAAA